AUUGAACGCUGGCGGCAGGCCUAACACAUGCAAGUCGAGCGAGCGGCGGACGGGUGAGUAAUGUCUGGGAAACUGCCUGAUGGAGGGGGAUAACUACUGGAAACGGUAGCUAAUACCGCAUACCAUCGGAUGUGCCCAGAUGGGAUUAGCUAGUAGGUGGGGUAACGGCUAACCUAGGCGACGAUCCCUAGCUGGGUGGAGAGGAUGACCAGCCACACGGGAACUGAGACACGGAGCAGACUCCUACGGGAGUCAGCAGUGGGGAAUAUUGCACAAUGGGCGCAAGCCUGAUGCAGCCAUGCGGCGUGUAUGAAGAGGGCCUUAGGGUUGUAAAGCACUUUCAGCUGGGAGGCGUUACCCACAGAAGAAGCACCGGCUAACUCCGUGCCAGCAGCCGCGGUAAUAC
rnacentral:rRNA from 1 species